UUGGAGUUCUAGGUUUGUUUGGGUUGAAUUAGCGGCAGAGACAAAGACGAUUUGGGGGAACGUCUUGGGUUUGUGGGUUCUUCUACGGGUUGGGAGAUCGAGGACUAUGAUUGGAUUGAUGGGGUUGAUAAGGACAAUAAGGAUGAUUUGUUUGCACAUGGUUUAAGGGCUUCUUUUGAAGGAUUGCAGGAGAUUAGGGGAAGGAUUGUAGGGAGAUUGAGGAUGAUGAGUUUCCACAAGGUUUAUAUAAUGGCCUGCCCGUUUUUUAUUUUUUUUUCAAUUUUUUUAAUUUUUAAUUAAAUUUUAUGCAAAGUAACAGCGUUAAAGGUUAAAUUUAAGCGGAGAACACAUGUCACAAGAUUAGAGAAGACACAUAAUUUGGGACAACUAACCCAUGGCCCGACUUCUAUAUUUUGCUUAAGUCAAGCUUAACCAAGCCAAAAUAGUGCUUAAAGUAGUCUAGUUCAACAUAGUUCUGCGCAGUUUUUGAGUUUGUUUGAUGAAUAUGCUUUUUUAUUUGACAAAAAGUGGCAAGAUAGAAGAAAAAACAAGAAAAGGGGUAAUUAACAAAAUUUGAUCAAUUGCUACUUAGUACUAUAGUUUAGUGGUAUUCAUCUUCACUUGUAAGUGAGAGGUCUUAGGUUCGAUUUUCGCCAAAGACGAGUUUGACCCACAUU
rnacentral:lncRNA from 1 species